AUCAGUCCUUUAAAGUAAUAAAACAAACAGCAAACAAACUAGAGAAUAUUUGUGCAGAUAAUUCUAUUUUUAUCAUCUGUCACCUUAUUUUUUUAUAUUCAAGUUAAACUACUGAUUCAUUUCCAGAUGUGUGCUGAGGUUCUCUUACAGAUAAACCCCAAAUAAAACCAAAAUUAACCAGUUAGUAUUCAGGAUUAACCGAGAAGGCCAUUGUCACGGCUCAAAUUAAGGAUUAGACAGUGUUCCCUCGAGGGCAGGAAGCCACACACUGAUCAGCCGGAGAAUUGAUUUUUGUUGCCCAGACGUGGACGAACGGCCAUGAAGCUUAUUUAUCUUUUCAGAAACCCCAGAGGAGCGGAGAGGAAGGAGGAGAGGUGAGAAGAGGAGGCGGAAAAAUCAAAAGGCUUGAAAAUCGAAUACUGCAAUAAAAGAGAUCAUAUAUUUAGCCAAAUCUGAUCACCUGCACCUGCAACAAUGUUAAAGGAACACAGAUUUGGAGACGUACUCUGGUUGUGCUUUAUGACACCUUGUGUGAAUUUUAUGCCUCGGUCCAGGCUGGCGACGAGUACAGUUUGGCAAGUUGUCAUGACAACGUAACAUUGAUAACAUAGAACCGAGUUGCUGACAUCUGGAAACAUGAAAUAUGACGGGAGGAAUAAUUCCUGACUGCAAAGUGAAACUGAGUACAGACCUGCAGUAGCAGGAAGGUUUACAACCGACGCUGCAGGUCAUCAUUUUUGUGCUCUUUUGUUUUUGUUUUCUCUUUCAAAUAUGUGGUUAACCUUAUUCCUCGGGGCGGCUGUGGCUCAGGUAGAGCGAUAAGAUCCUUCU